CAACGUUCAGUUAGAAGAAAUUGAUGUAUCACGAAACUUUGAUUACAAGUUACCAAAGAUUUACGAUAUACAUGCGCAUAUAACACCUACUAACUUGAUUUAGGAUAAUACUCGACAAAACGCUAUAAAAGAAACAAGGCACAAAGAACAGAGACAGCCAUGGUGACUGUUGGAACUGUAUGCAAGCGACGCUGUUGGCACCCUAUUUACGGACUUUUCCUCGGUUGUGGCGCUCUGUUCAUCAUAAAAGAAAUUAUACAAUUGCACAAAACGGUAGAGGAAAAAAUCAUUGAAAACGUAGCCAGGCAAACUUUCCCGUUAAGUGAAGCAAAUGGAGGAACGGUGGACGAAGAAGCGGCCAAGUCUCCCGGUGAAAUCCAGCAAACGAGAAUCGAAACAUUGAGAAAAGUAUGCCAAGUUAACAGUUUGAAUAAAGAUCUUGUGAUUUCUGAAUUGUGGAAGGGGUUCUUUUUUGUCGAUCAAGAGCUCAAGGUCGUAUAUUGUGGAGUUCCCAAAGUUGGAUGCACUUUUUUGAAGAGACUCUUUUACGUUCUCUCGGGGAAGAGUCGAUCAAAAAACCCAUAUGAUAUAUCCGCUAAUGCAGCACAUGGUCUGCCGUUGGAAACAUUUCAAACUCAUAAUGACUCUGAGAUCGCUUAUUUUAUUGAGCACUACAAAAAAGUAUUAUUUGUUCGAGAACCCAUUAAACGUUUGAUAUCGGGCUAUAAUGAUAAAAUAAGGGCUAUAAACCCUGGAUACUGGUCGGGGUUAGGGCGACGCAUAAUAAAAACAGUCAGAAGAAAUUACAGCGAAAUUUCUGAAAGGUGUGGACACGAUGUUUCCUUCCAGGAGUUCCUUGAUCAUAGAAUAUAUGAAGAGAUAGGCCAGUCAAAACCUGAUAUGCAUUGGGACACGGUGUACCGCACAUGCCAUCCCUGCAUGAUCAAGUACGACUUCAUUGGUAAGAUGGAAUCGUUCAAUGAUGACGUAAACCUGUUCCUUCAUCAAAUCAAUGCGCGAAAGGAUAUAGUCCUUCAUGAAGACUACACAAGUAAACUUGAUAAUAUUUUGAUAGAGGUUCAAAAUUUCUAUGACAGAGUUAACAAAUCUGCAGAAUGUGGAUUAACAUUUGAGGAAAUCGUCAAACGUUAUUGGGAGGUUUUAUUUCAUAAAAACUUGAUCACCCCGCCAACAACGCUUCCAAACAUACAAAAAACUACAACCAAAGAAGAACUGACAGAAAUUAUGAUAGAUUUGUAUCAUCGACAAAAAGCAACUAAAACAUUGACUAAUAAAUCGUUUGAUGUUCUCAAAUCAGUGUCUAAAGCCACCAUAGCAAAACUUCAAGAUUUUUACAAAUAUGACUUCGAAAUGUUUGGAUACAAUAAAACUGAAAUAUGACUGACUGUUCAUAAUAAUAGGAAAAUUAUUUUAAAGCAACGGGUUGUCAAAAUGAGUUCAUUUAUAGUUCUUGCGUGUUUUCUCUUUCCUGUUCAUGGUUCAGAAAAAUAUUUUUAAGUAAUAGGUUAUAAACGCGGCGAUGUGAGUCUUGUCUGUCAAUCCAUUUAAACCAUCAGGAAAAUCAAAAGUGACCACCUUAAAAGUUAGACAGCAUGCCCAAGAUUUUGAUAUCAAGACGAUCUCUGUGAUUUUCGAAUCAAUCGUUUGUACGAUUCGCUGCACAGUAAUAUUGAAAGAAACUAUCGAAAAUUAUAGAUGUAGCCCGUGUUGUAAUACGGAUCACUGCUCUUCUUAAAGGUAUUUGGGAAAUGACUCUUUGGGCCCUGAUUCAAAGAUGAUAGAAAAAACAAGACAAAAGAAAAUACAGAUAUGCCAGUCAAAUAAGAUUUAUUUCAUUCCGUUUACAACAUUUAAAGACCGUUUACGGAUCGAUAAUCUAAAAGCAAAGCAUUAAAAACAUCGGGUAUAUUUGAAUUACAAUAGUUGAUUUAAAUACAUAUACCACAUUAUCUGCACCUGUCAUGUAUACUAUAUAGUCCUACACUUUGGCCGUGAUUUCACAUGACUCCUUGAUUUGUUUUAAAUGGUCCUCUUUUCAAUACACGAGUCAGAUGGGAUCAGCAUAAUUAAAUGACGUGUUGAUAAAUAUUCAUAAGAGAUUAUGCCUAAAUUAUCAUAAAUCACUGGUUAUUGGAAUAGGAAGUAGAAAGAUAAGAUUCACUGAGGCGCAUGCGCAGGCAUGUGGCAGCUAUGAGCGUGUGCUGUAGAGAACACUAGAUAGAGCUGUCACCAGCAACAGUGGUAGAGAUAAGGUCACCGUCUCCAUUGAGCCUGGAACAAAAGAAACAAAUUGAUGAAAGCGUAGAACUGAAACUGGUAGAAAAUCAAUUGUGAUUAGAGGUGUACUCCUACUCCAUCCUACUCUAUACUGGCUAUAGACAAGGCAAAGCAUGUUAGAAAAUCCGAAAAAAUGAUAAAAAAUGAUCUUAUCAAUAAAUACCAAUGAUAAUUUCUGCUUCCACUUUUCUUUUUUUUCAUUUUAAUUUAUUUAGCUUUUGAUCUACGACUAAAACAUUACUAUUAUGACCCAUAUAUACGCUCUCUGGGGUUUCUUUUAGAUGUCAUAUAUGAAAUAGUG
rnacentral:misc_RNA from 1 species